GUGGACAAGUCUCUGUGCUACGACUAAGAAGGCUCCUGACCGUGAAUAAACUCAACACAAAGCAAAGCAAAGCGAAGGAAAGAUUGUAAUCUGUUUGUGUUACUGCUGUGCAGCAAGGGGAUCUUGUGGACUGGAUCACGAUCCAUUGAGCAGAAGGAACAGGAGCAAUCCAAAAAAAAAAAAAAAAAGAGUAAUCAGAGAUACUUGUGUUGCAUCAACUUCAGAAAAUGUCUACUCCAAACAGUGAAAGAAGCAGAAACAACAAAAAGUACAAAAACAAAAUUAUUAUUAAGACUACUGCUCCAGUGAGCUUUUUGUUACUGACUUUUCAGGGGUUUAUGGGUAUAAAAUUUUCAUGCCCAUGUAGCAGUGGAUGGAACAUGGCUAUAACAUUACUAAUCUUGAUUGUGCCUGCCCUCUUUGGUGGGAUAAUGUUGUCACUAUUUUUAAGAUUUGAGGAACUAAAAAAUAGUGGAGAUGGAGAGGUCCAAAUAGACAGCAGAGGAAGAUCUAAGUCUGAAAAAUGGCUUUAUUGUAUGAUUCGCUGCAUUCCAUCUCUAUUGUGGUUUUGUAUAUUUUUCAUUGAUGGUGAUUAUCUUGCAUGUUUUACGACAAAGUGGGAUGGAACGUACACCUGUGAUAGCAAAAUCCAUCGUAAUUGUGUGAGUUGGUGCAAACCUGAAUCAAACGAAGGAAGAAAUGAGACUCAAAUAUUUAAGGACACACAACAGAUGAAUAAUUUAUCAAAGACAAUAGGUUACGGCCUGGCCUUUGUCUUCUGCCUCCUCCUCUUGUUCAUAAUGUGUUUGAGUAAAGACAAGAACAGAACUUCAGGUCCAAGGAACAUCGUGUAUAACACAGAAAAUGAGACUGUCAUGAUACCCGAUCCAGAGGAAUAAAAUGAUCACUUCAGGUUCACAUGCUCCAUUAAUGUUCUCUUCUGCUGUCUUUGCAAACAGCAUAAAGAAAUUGGUAAUUCAUGUAUUCAAGAACAUAAUGUUUCCAAUUAUAUAAAUUUUCUUAUCUGUGCUUUUUGCCUAAAAGAUUUUUAAAUGUAACUUUUAAUUUCUCUUGUGUUCAUUUGUUUGUUUAACAUGAUACAUAUAGCAAAAUGACUGCUUUUUAAUCACAUAAGCAAAUUUGUUUACAAAUGCCCCAAAUACUUUAUGUAUAUAUAGAUUUUCCCUCUUCUGUCUUUUUAUUCAUUAAAAGUGUCAAAAGCCCAGAAAAAAGCAUUUGUCUUAUACUAUUAUGUCAUUGUAUGACGUUUUUAUUGCAUGAUUAAUUGACCCUUUGCAGAGACCUACCCUCUUCAUUACUGUUGCCAUGUCUGACAAGCCAUCCACUCUCACACCACACAAUAUGUUUUAACGCAAUGGAAAAUACAUUGCGGAGCAAACUGUAAUGCCCCAACAGACAAGACAGAGCAGGUUACUUUUGG
ensembl:lncRNA